UAACGAAUCUUCCGCAAUGCACGCAAGUGUGACGGAGCGACGCCGCGUGUGGGACGAAGUCCUUCGGGAUGUAAACCACUGUCAGGGGUUACCAAGUUCUGAGGAGCCCCAGAGGAAGGCACGGCUAACUCUGUGCCAGCAGCCGCGGUAAGACAGAGGUGCCAAGCGUUAGGCGGAAUCACUGGGCUUAAAGCGUGUGUAGGCGGGUCGUUAAGUGUCUUGUGAAAUCCCCCGGCUCAACCGGGGAAUGGCUGGGCAUACUGGCGAUCUUGAGCAGUCUAGGGGCAGAUGGAACAGACGGUGGAGCGGUGAAAUGCGUAGAUAUCGUCUGGAACGCCAAAGGUGAAGACAGUCUGCUGGGGACUUGCUGACGCUGAGACACGAAAGCCAGGGGAGCGAACGGGAUUAGAUACCCCCGUAGUC
rnacentral:rRNA from 1 species